AUAAUAUAAUAUUUCUUAUCUUCUUCGUAGAAUUAAAAUCAAUAUCAAAUCGAAGAGAAAUUAAUUACGUGAUCAAUUUGAGUUGCAUAUCUAUUGCAGAUGUCCCACUAGCAUUCUCGAUUGAAGGAUAUAUGGUUGUCUAGUUAUUGAGAUGGUUCCAAGUGCUCAAACGUUUGUGCACAGUAGCAGGAGGUGAAGAUGUGGCCUAGCUGUGAGCUCGUGGUCCAAGGUUCAUUCCGGAACCAGUGGUACAUGGACACCAUGGGUCCCCUACAGUGUCUGUUGCUAGUUCCAGUUCCUAUCAUCGAGAGUGAUCCGAGUCUACUUGAUCGAGAUUCCAGGGUGAGCUUUGGCUAAAUCUGCAACCCGAAAACUCUUCCUUUGCAUUUGGCUGUCUACUUUGUAUUCUUGAGACAAUAUUGAUAUUUUUUAGAAUUCUAUUUUCUUAUCAGACUUGUAUCUUCUUGGUAGUAGCUCUUGUACUAGUCCAGACCAGAUUUUGGGGUUGUUGUUACUUCCACACUUAUUAUCAAUGUGAUUUGAA